AAAUUGAAGAGUUUGAUCAUUCCUCAGAUUGAACGCUGGCGGCAGGCCUAACACAUGCAAGUCGAACGGUAACAGGAAGCAGCUUGCUGCUUCGCUGACGAGUGGCGGACGGGUGAGUAAUGUCUGGGAAACUGCCUGAUGGAGGGGGAUAACUACUGGAAACGGUGGCUAAUACCGCAUAACGUCGCAAGACCAAAGAGGGGGACCUUCGGGCCUCUUG
rnacentral:rRNA from 1 species